rnacentral:rRNA from 1 species
GUGUCAGCCGCCGCGGUAAUACGUAGGGACCGAGCGUUGUCCGGAAUCAUUGGGCGUAAAGAGCGUGUAGGCGGCUUGCUAAGUCUUGCGUGAAAUCUCGGGGCUCAACCCCGAGCGGUCGUGGGAAACUGGCAGGCUAGAGUGCGGGAGAGGAGAAUGGAAUUCCUGGUGUAGCGGUGAAAUGCGCAGAUAUCAGGAAGAACACCCGUGGCGAAGGCGGUUCUCUGGAACGCAACUGACGCUGAGACGCGAAAGCGUGGGGAGCAAACAGGAUUAGAAACCCCCGUAGUCC